GAUGGUCUAGUUAAACAAUAACCCUGUCUUGUCAAGACAGAUUUACAGGUUAAACCCCUGUGCCCCUCC
rnacentral:tRNA from 1 species